AACUGAGGGGCUUGUCCACCUGUAACAGCUGGUAACUCACCAGCCCAAAAGGUGUAGGGUUCCUUAAGCCAGGGUCUCACUCAGAUCUUGUAUCUUCACAUCGCCUCUAAGUAGUAACUCUGGUAACUGCUGUUUGUUCAGAAAGUUGGAAAUACAAAACGAAGGAUUCAGCGGGGCUGCAUUCCUUCUGGAGACCUGAGGAGAAUCCUUUUGAUGAAUGCUAGCUAUAUGCAAAAUCUUGGAUUUGCGUAUGACUUCAAGAACAUCUACCAGCACUGUAUGAGAGAGAAAAAGCCAGCCUCCUCCAAUAACUUGGCUUAAACAAGCUAUUUAUAGAGAGGGGGAUGAUGCUCAUGAGCCUCAGGAGAAAAACAAAAGAUCACUGGUCCUCAGGAGUGGAAACUUGGGAGAUUCUCAACUGUCUCUCUCCAGCAGUAUAAAAAGCAUACUUCAGAACAAAAGGUCAGCAGUCAUUGUUUCAGUCAGCUGAGGAGAUUUAGUCUACAGGCACAAACGUCCCCCCGGACUCGGAAGCUCAAAAGAAUGAAGUGUACUCAGCAUCUUUCAGCACUAGGAGAGCUAACCAGUAUAGAAGAAGUCUCUGGGAAAUUUGAUUUUUCCAUAUUCUAUAACUCAAGUAUGUGCUGUCUUCAGAGAUAAGGUCUCACUGGAAAGUUCUGAAGAGUUACUGAGAGAAGUGACAAUGGCUCAUAAUAUUUAGAGGUUUGGGAGGCCUCACUGCUCAGAAGCUCCAAAAGAAGUAACCCAUCCUGGACUGGGGGUUUUAUUUGUAAGGGUUUCCUGUAUUUUAGUGACUAAAAUCUAAGUUGCAUGGCAAAAGCUGAUGUCAUGGGCAGGAAUGACACUUGUUUCACAUGGAAAAGCACUAAAUAUAUUCAACAAUAAUAUAACCUGUCACUCUCUUAUUAUAACACUACCUUUUACAUUAUUCUCUUUGCUAUGUAAAAUAUUCUCUACUCAUAAAACUAAAAAAUGGGAGGGAACAAAUAUCUAAUAAACAUUUGAAGAGUGACAAAUGAUAUAUCUAUAUGAUUGAAUAUUUGCCAAUAAAAAUAAAUCAGGCAUUGAUACACGGU